ACAAGUCGCUUGCAAAACAGCUAACAAUUGCUAGCCAGCCAAUCAGGGGACAGGCAACGCAUCACACAGGGCCACGAAGAUGCUGGGACCCGCCAGCUGCUGCCUUACAGGGCCACGGAGACAUGCUCCUCUUGGGUGUCCAAUGGAACUAGAACUAUGAGCGGUGAGCAGCGCUCACCACCAGACCUCCCCAGAGAAGCCACCUUUGCACACCAGGUCCCUGGCAACUGCUCCUGACAUCGCUGGGCUAACCAUCAUUGCUACCACCAUGCCCUAGCCAGGGGCACGCAGAGCCAUUUGGCCAGCAAGUUUCUGCCAAGGAAGAGGAGGCGGUAGAGGAGGAGGAGGAGGUAGUAGAGGAGGAGGAGGUGGCGGUGGCGGUGGAGGUGGAAAAAAACAGGUCCUUGUAAUCUCCCUCACUCUUUGUUUUUUUUUUUUUUUUCUGACAAGGAGGACUUUUGAGUGCAAUGUUAUGCCGUUAGGUCUUUAUCAUCCUCCCUGUCCGCACUGAAAGGAGUGAGGGUAUCUGCUGUUCAAGUGCAGAGGUGAGAACACAGCAGACACCGGUGUGCAAUGCUGGUGACAGAAGGAGAAUUGUGGCUCUAGGCUUGAGUGUGGAAAUUCCUCAACUUCCCAUGUUUGUCAGCAUCCUUUCUAAAACACCACUUUUCCAUGCUCAUCUUCAGUGAAAAGGAAUUGGCAAUUGAUGCCCCAACAGCCUUGCUGGGGUCUUAGGUCCCUCACACAGGAUGCUCCUGCCAACCCCUGCCUCAAUUACAAAUGCUGUCCCCAAGACUGAAGCUGCACUGAGGCAAUGCCCUGAGGGGCAGCAGAAGGAUUUGAAAAUUUCUGUGGCUUCACUUGCAGCACAAACUUGAAGGUCUCCUCCAACACUAAUGAUCCUAUGAUUCCUCCACCUCCUAGUCCUCCACCACCUCCUCCUCCUCCUCCACCUCCACCGCCUCCUCCUCCUCGUCCACAACGUCCUCCACCACCGCCUAAUCUUACUUGUACACUGCCUCUUCCUCCUCGUCC